UACGUAUGGUGCAAACGUUAUCCGGAUUUACUGGGCGUAAAGGGAGCGCAGGCGGCGCGCCAAGUCUGACGUGAAACCCCGGGGCUCAACCCCGGGCAUGCAUUGGAAACUGGCGGGCUGGAGUGCCGGAGAGGUAAGCGGAAUUCCUAGUGUAGCGGUGAAAUGCGUAGAUAUUAGGAGGAACACCAGUGGCGAAGGCGGCUUACUGGACGGCAACUGACGCUGAGGCUCGAAAGCGUGGGGAGCAAACAGG
rnacentral:rRNA from 1 species